AAGCAUCCUUGAUAGAAGAAAGAAACGCUCAUACCCUAGCCAUAGUCCCUACUGAAAUUGAUUCACGAGCUGGUGCGGCAAGAAAUUGUGAUCCAGCCGGAUGGGGUCUUGCUCUGGUCUGUACUCCAAGUACAACUAUUUCUUCAGCCAAUGAGAGAUAAUUGGUAGGUUGUUCUUCAGUCAAUGAUGAAUCACAAUAGCAUUCUAUAUAUAACAGGGCACCACUCUAUUUUUAUGAGUAUUAGCACUUUGAUUAUAGUGUUCGCAGACACCAGAUUUUGGAUUUUGGAGUUUUCUCUAGGUUACUUGGAGUUUUUCUCAAGGUUACUUGAUAGCAUUUUGAAUUUGAAUCCAUGGUUAAAAAAAUCAUCUCAUGCAUGUGUAUUUUGAAUCCAUCUAAAUAAUGUAUAUUUAACUUGUCUAUUGACUUAUAUUCUCUUGUGAUUAAUGGGUGCUUGAUAUGUAAGUCGAAUAUCUGUAUCAAUAUUUUCUCUUAAAACUUAUAAGCAAUGCAUGGUAGUGAAAUAGUGCAGGAGAAGCUGAUAUGAAAAAGUUUUGCAAGUAUUUCUUCUUCAAAUAAUCAAGAAACGACAUCAAUUAAAGUUAAUCACAAUUGUCACCACCUUCAUCCUCAACUAU
rnacentral:sRNA from 1 species